UGUUGUCUUUCUCUUAUUUUUGCCCAUAUUUUUGCCAUGUUUUUCUCUUAGGCCCUGUGUCUAAUGGAAGACCUGAGGUUAAAGAAGCAUGCUAGUCAACAUUUUUAGUUUUUAUCAAGCCCUAACUGGAAGAAGCAGAGUAAAAUCCUCUCAAGGCAACUGCUUUUAUUGUCUCCCCAGUCAUGCUCUUUUGUUGUAUGCAAACAGCAAUAGCUGGCUUGGUUGGAGAUGAUUAUUAAGUUUUGAACAGUUUGAAAGAAGAAUCCUUGAAAGGAGUGGUUAAAGAGUGCAACUGGUUUCAGAAAAAUACCAGAAGUCUUCUAUCAAUAUUAUCAUUCUGUUUAAAUGA
rnacentral:lncRNA from 1 species